ensembl:lncRNA
AUAUAUAUAUAUAAUAUACACACACACACACACACUCAGUCAGUCAGUCAGCUCUAUAUCCGCGGUGUUUGACCGUAAUCCCGUCAUUUAUUUCCGGUGAACACUCGGACUUUAUCCCAUUUCAACUCCACAAAACUCAAGGCGACUUCAGAAGAAUGAACCAAUCACAGCCGACUAGCGUCAGGACGAACCAAUCACAGCCGGCUAGCGGCAGGAUGAACCAAUCACAGUCGGGAGGUGUUUGUAAUUUGAGUGUUUACACACGUUAAAUCGAAACUCGUCGUUAGAGUUUGUUCUGUGGUCAGACCACAUUUCUGAACUCUGAACCGAAGCUGACUUCUGUCUUAUUUAUCGUCUGCAGCUCAGCCUCCUUCUGAUUAACAGUUUAUAAAGAGCAGCAGACUUCACUCUUCUCACAGUCAUGGACUUCUCUGCACAGGAAUAAAAUACUUUUAAGAGUAUCCAGAUCCAUGGGUGCCAAGGUUUCAGUCGUCAAUCAGACUCCUUACACCUGGUGCUUUGACACCCAGGACAAAAGAGGGUAUAGACGCAUCGCUCCUGGAUGCACAACAUCCUACGAUGAGUCUCUGGCAAUCCAUCGCUACAUCUACAUCAGAUAUGAAAAUCACUCGUGGAAUAGUUUUUCAUAUGAGUUUAACACCCAUAAAGGCGACACGUCUUUUAUCCUAAAAGAAGCCCUCGACCGUUCCCAGAUUCAGUUGCACUGCACCUCUGAGGGCGGCACUCGUUACUGUCCCAACUACAGUAAGUUCCUGCAAACAUGUCAUUUCUGGACUACUCUGUACAGCGUAAUAUUUGUUGUUCUAGGGACAAAAAAAAGUGUAGGUUCUCUUGCAGCUGGUCUGCAACCACAUGUAAGAAAUCUUGGGGUAACAUUUGAUUUGUCACUAAACUUCACCAGCCUGUUUCAAAUCGGUUUUUAAAACCUCUUAACAGCAUUCACCAGCAAAGAUCACCAGCGGCCUCGGAUUAUUGCUGUUUCACAUUCACAGCAUAUUAAAACACACUAUUAUUUGAUCCGGAAAUACUGUGUGUCUUUAAAAAGAUGAAAAGUGUCGAAAGUUUUCAGAUUUUAUCCUGUUUAAUGUGUUUGUACUUUUUAUAUGCUUAAAGGAUUAGUUCACCCAAAAAUGAAAAUUCUGACAUUAAUUACUCACCCUCACGUCAUUCUAAACUCGUAAGACCUCCGUUCAUCUUCGAAACACAAAUUAAGAUAUUUUUGAUACAUUCUAACAGCUCUCUGACCCUCCCAUAGACAGCAAUGUAAUUACCACAAUCAAGGUCCAUCUGUGACACACAGAUAUGUUUGCUACGUUGUUUACGCAUUGAUUGGAAAGAAAACAAUGUAUCCGUGUGACACAGCUUACACAGAAUAUAAUACGCUGUUUGCGUUCAUUGGAUACUCUCCAAAAUGACACCAGGGUGACGUGGAGGAGACGAAUUGUUGAAUAAAGUUAUUUUUGUUUUCUUCGCGUACA